CUUUUCUUUGAUAACACAAAAUGGGUUAUUUCAUCAAGGAAUGUGAGGACCCUAAUAGGAAAUGACAACUUGAUAACAGAGGAUAAUAUCACAGCAAGGCUGUGACUAGAUCCAAAAUAUUGAAGAUGGAGGGAAAAGAGCUGUCAAGUGAUUAGGAGAGAGAGAUAUAAAAAAAGGAAGAAACAUUUGGACAAAACAUGAAAAUCUGCAACAUAUUUAAGCCCUGGAACGUGGAGAUUUCAUAGCCUGUCAAAGUCUGAUGGUGCCUUUACUGUCCAGAAUAUCUGCCUUUCUUCCUAGAUCAUUGAUGUUUAUACUUGGUAAAGGUAACUUUUAUUUUAUCAUCUACCUUUUCUUAAAGAUACUGAAUGGUAUCAGAUGCAAUAUCGACCCCAUAGAAAAUUCACUUUUGACUGAGUGCCAGCUUGAUUUUGAGUCAUUAACCACUAACUUUGGAGCUUGGCCGUUAGCCAGUUUUUCAUCCUUCUUCUGGUCCAUCUGUCAAAUCUGUAUCUGAUCAAUUUAGAAGGAUAUUGUGGGGAGACAAUGUCAGACAAUUUGCUAUAAUCAAGGUAGCUGCCAUUCACAGCUUUCCUCUUAUUCAGUGGGUAAAUUGUUUUGUCACAGAAGGCAAUGAAAAUGGUCUAUCAUGGGUCUUGGUGAAUCCUUUUUAACUUUUCCCUAACACCUUGUCCUUCGUGUGUCUGGAAAUAGCUUCAAUUAAGGACCUGUUCUAAAAUUUUCCCAGAGGCAGAAUGGGUGUGUACUGGUCUGUAGAUUCUCAGAUCUCUCUCUUUUUUUUUUUUUUUUUCCCUCUGUAAAUGGCCUAAUCAUCAGGGACUUCCCUUGGUCUCUAUGAAUUUUCAAAGUUGAUGAAAUGUGGCUCUGCAGUAAUUCCAGUAUCAGCACCUCUAGCACUCUUGGACUUAUCUGACAGGUUUCAUAGACUUGUAGAUGUCAUUUUGGUACAGAUGAUCCCUACAUUCAAUCUCCUUGGGGAUUUACCAUUUGCUUUACUACUUAGUGGUGCAGAGACUUGGGGACUAAAUUUAUCCAUGAAGACUGAAGUAAAGAAGGCAGCUCAACAUAUUUUUUGUCAUUUGUAACUAAUUUGCCAACCACUUUCACUGGUAAGUCAGCAUCUUUGUUUUACUUCUGCUUGUUACUAACAUAAAUAUGAAAUCCUUUCUUGUUAUUCUUGUUAUCCCUUGCCAGUUUGUGUGCCAGCUGAGCUCCUGUUUUCCACAUCAUAUGGCCACGUCCUGAGGACCAGAUAAAUAGCAGUCAGAAGCUGGAUGCAGGCAUCUGCUGGUCCUUUGUGAGGCCUCCCUUGGCCCAGUGGGUCCCUUCUCAGGACACUAGGAGUUCAAUUGCUCCCACCCACAUGUUUUCCAUGUGUGUUUUUCUUCGCUCACAAGUGUAGUUUUUAUCACAUGCCUAUGCUGCCCUCACAGCAAGUUCUAUGAAGAAAUUACUGGCUAAUAAAAGUUCAUUCUGUUCUCCAGUUGACUUACUUUGAUAGAUAAAACCUUUUGAAGAGUGGAGUUAUUCUUAUAAUAACCAAUUCACUGGAGUGAGAAGAGUGCGGAAUAAAAAUACUGCAUUUGUUGUUCAUAAGCUACUGAAUGCCAAGUAUAGACAGGGCAGAAAAGU
ensembl:lncRNA